GAUGAACGCUGGCGGCGUGCCUAAUACAUGCAAGUCGAGCGAACGGGCGAGAAGCUUGCUUUUCUGAUGUUAGCGGCGGACGGGUGAGUAACACGUGGAUAACCUACCUAUAAGACUGGGAUAACUUCGGGAAACCGGAGCUAAUAUCGGAUAAUAUAUUGAACCGCAUGGUUCAAUAGUGAAAGACGGUCUUGCUGUCACUUAUAGAUGGAUCCGCGCUGCAUUAGCUAGUUGGUAAGGUAACGGCUUACCAAGGCAACGAUGCGUAGCCGACCUGAGAGGGUGAUCGGCCACACUGGAACUGAGACACGGUCCAGACUCCUACGGGAGGCAGCAGUAGGGAAUCUUCCGCAAUGGGCGAAAGCCUGACGGAGCAACGCCGCGUGAGUGAUGAAGGUCUUCGGAUCGUAAAACUCUGUUAUUAGGGAAGAACAUAUGUGUAAGUAACUGUGCACAUCUUGACGGUACCUAAUCAGAAAGCCACGGCUAACUACGUG
rnacentral:rRNA from 1 species